GAUGAACGCUGGCGGCGUGCUUAUCACAUGCAAGUCGAACGAAGCACCUUGAUUCGAUUCUUCGGAUGAAGAUCUUGGUGACUGAGUGGCGGACGGGUGAGUAACGCGUGGGUAACCUGCCUCAUACAGGGGGAUAACAGUUAGAAAUGACUGCUAAUACCGCAUAAGACCACAGCACCGCAUGGUGCAGGGGUAAAAACUCCGGUGGUAUGAGAUGGACCCGCGUCUGAUUAGGUAGUUGGUGGGGUAACGGCCUACCAAGCCGACGAUCAGUAGCCGACCUGAGAGGGUGACCGGCCACAUUGGGACUGAGACACGGCCCAAACUCCUACGGGAGGCAGCAGUGGGGAAUAUUGCACAAUGGGGGAAACCCUGAUGCAGCGACGCCGCGUGAGCGAUGAAGUAUUUCGGUAUGUAAAGCUCUAUCAGCAGGGAAGAAAAUGACGGUACCUGACUAAGAAGCACCGGCUAAAUACGUG
rnacentral:rRNA from 1 species